AUUGAACGCUGGCGGCAGGCCUAACACAUGCAAGUCGAACGGUAACAGGAAGCAGCUUGCUGCUUUGCUGACGAGUGGCGGACGGGUGAGUAAUGUCUGGGAAACUGCCUGAUGGAGGGGGAUAACUACUGGAAACGGUAGCUAAUACCGCAUAACGUCGCAAGACCAAAGAGGGGGACCUUAGGGCCUCUUGCCAUCGGAUGUGCCCAGAUGGGAUUAGCUAGUAGGUGGGGUAACGGCUCACCUAGGCGACGAUCCCUAGCUGGUCUGAGAGGAUGACCAGCCACACUGGAACUGAGACACGGUCCAGACUCCUACGGGAGGCAGCAGUGGGGAAUAUUGCACAAUGGGCGCAAGCCCGAUGCAGCCAUGCCGCGUGUAUGAAGAAGGCCUUCGGGUUGUAAAAUACUUUCAGCGGGGAGGAAGGGAGUAAAGUUAAUACCUUUGCUCAUUGACGUUACCCGCAGAGGAAGCACCGGCUAACUCCGUG
rnacentral:rRNA from 1 species